rnacentral:miRNA from 1 species
CUGCGACGGACUAGACGCGCA